rnacentral:rRNA from 1 species
AAAGAAAAUAACAAUGAUUCCCUCAGUAACGGCGCGCGAAGAGAGAUAAGCUCAAAUUUUAAAUCUGUUGGGUUUCACUUAACAGAGUUGUAUUUUGAAGAAACGUUUUCUGCAUCCAGGAUUAGCCUAAAUCCUUUGGGAUAAGGUAUCAUGGAGGGUGAGAAUCCCGUUCAUGGUUAAUCUUAAGGAAGCUCUACGAUACGUUUUCCAAGAGUCGAGUUGUUUGGGAUUGCAGCUCAAAAUGGGAGGUAAAUUUCUCCUAAGGCUAAAUAUUGGCGAGAGACCGAUAGCGAACAAGUACCGUGAGGGAAAGAUGAAAGGAACUUUGAAAAGAGAGUUAAACAGUACGUGAAAUUGUUGAAAGGGAAACGAUUGAAG